UCUGAAGCAGAUGUAUGGGUUCAAACAGCGGAUGGGAGGCCUUAUGUUGGUGACGUGUGGCCUGGGCCUUGUGUGUUUCCGGAUUUCACUCAAUUGAAAGCCAGAUCAUGGUGGGCUAACCUAGUUAAAGAUUUCAUUUCCAAUGGUGUGGACGGUAUAUGGAAUGACAUGAACGAACCAGCUGUUUUUAAGACAGUAACAAAGACAAUGCCGGAGAAUAAUAUUCACAGGGGAGAUCCUGAAUUUGGAGGUUGCCAGAAUCAUUCAUACUAUCACAAUGUUUAUGGGAUGCUCAUGGCACGAUCAACCUAUGAAGGAAUGAAGCUAGCUAAUGGAAAUAAACGUCCUUUUGUUCUCACACGGGCUGGAUUUGUGGGUAGCCAGAGGUAUGCUGCUACAUGGACAGGGGAUAACCUUUCUACAUGGGAGCACUUGCAGAUGAGUAUCCCCAUGGUUCUUCA
rnacentral:misc_RNA from 1 species